rnacentral:rRNA from 1 species
UACGGGGGGAGCAAGCGUUGUUCGGAUUUACUGGGCGUAAAGGGCGCGUAGGCGGUCGUGACAAGUCACUUGUGAAAUCUCCGGGCUUAACUCGGAACGGUCAAGUGAUACUGUCGGACUAGAGUACAGAAGGGGCAACUGGAAUUCUCGGUGUAGCGGUGAAAUGCGUAGAUAUCGAGAGGAACACCUGCGGCGAAGGCGGGUUGCUGGGCUGAUACUGACGCUGAGGCGCGAAAGCCAGGGGAGCUAACGGG